GAUGAACGCUGGCGGCGUGCCUAAUACAUGCAAGUCGAGCGAAUGGAUUAAGAGCUUGCUCUUAUGAAGUUAGCGGCGGACGGGUGAGUAACACGUGGGUAACCUGCCCAUAAGACUGGGAUAACUCCGGGAAACCGGGGCUAAUACCGGAUAACAUUUUGAACCGCAUGGUUCGAAAUUGAAAGGCGGCUUCGGCUGUCACUUAUGGAUGGACCCGCGUCGCGUUAGCUAGUUGGUGGGUAACGGCUCACCAAGGCAACGAUGCGUAGCCGACCUGCGAGGGUGAUCGGCCACGCUGGGACUGAGACACGGCCCAGACUCCUACGGGAGGCAGCAGUAGGGAAUCUUCCGCAAUGGACGAAAGUCUGACGGAGCAACGCCGCGUGAGUGAUGAAGGCUUUCGGGUCGUAAAACUCUGUUGUUAGGGAAGAACAAGUGCUAGUUGAGUAAGCUGGCACCUUGACGGUACCUAACCAGAAAGCCACGGCUAACUACGUGCCAGCAGCCGCCGCAG
rnacentral:rRNA from 1 species